GUUUACUUAAUGUUUCCUUAGUUGAACUUUGAACGGCGCACACCUCCUUCUUUGAGUGAGGACUGGGGUCAUUAGUUGUUCAGAGGUGGAUAAAGAAGUUGAGAGAGACGACGCUUCGAUCUGCCGAAUCUACCUUGAAGGGCAUGGCUACCCGCUCAUCUACCUUGAGGAUAGGAGUGGUGGGAUAUGGACAUUUAGGGCAGUACCUAGUGGAGAGGAUCAUAAAAGAUGGAGCUGGCCUGGGUCUUACUCUGGCGUUUGCUUGGAAUCGAAACCCUCACAAGCUAAAGGGUUUAGUUCCUGACCACCUAAUACUUGAAGAUCUAUCUGCUUUUAAAACCAGGGUAUGCGAGGUGAUCGUAGAGGUGUGCCAUCCUCAGAUCGUCAAGGACUUUGGUGUUCAGUUUCUCUCUCAUGCACACUUCCUGGUAGGCUCUCCCUCGGCACUCUGUGACCCCGAGCUGAACCAGCAACUUCGGCAAGCGGCCAGUCUUCACGGCAACACGCUCUACAUCCCCAGUGGUGCAUUGUGGGGAGGCCAGGACAUCCAGAGGCUUAACGACAGCGGGGCACUCACAGGUGUGUUCGUAAGGAUGUCCAAACACCCCUCCUGCUUCAGGCUCACAGAGGACACGCUCUCUGAUUGGACUGAGGGCGAGGGGAGGCGGGUCUUAUUCAGGGGCUCUGUGGCUGAGCUGUGCCCAUUGGCCCCCAACAACGUGAACACUAUGGCAGCAGUUGCUGUGGCAGCAGGAACCCUGGGCUUUCCUGGGGUUAUUGGGGAGAUUGUGUCGGAUACAGCGCUGAGGGACUACCACGUGGUGGAGGUGGAGGUGAGUGGAGCCCAUGGCUUCUCGGUCCACACGGUGAGGAGGAACCCUGCCCAGCUGGGAGCCGUGACCGGCAGCGCCACCUACAACUCUUUCUGGCACAGUCUACUGGGUGAGCUGAACGCGCUGGGGACCCCGCUCUUAUCACAGUCUACUGGGUGAGCUGAACGCGCUGGGGACCCCGCUCUUAUCACAGUCUACUGGGUGAGCUGAACGCGCUGGGGACCCCGCUCUUAUCACAGUCUACUGGGUGAGCUGAACGCGCUGGGGACCCCGCUCUUAUCACAGUCUACUGGGUGAGCUGAACGCGCUGGGGACCCCGCUCUUAUCACAGUCUACUGGGUGAGCUGAACGCGCUGGGGACCCCGCUCUUAUCACAGUCUACUGGGUGAGCUGAACGCGCUGGGGACCCCGCUCUUAUCACAGUCUACUGGGUGAGCUGAACGCGCUGGGGACCCCGCUCUUAUCACAGUCUACUGGGUGAGCUGAACGCGCUGGGGACCCCGCUCUUAUCACAGUCUACUGGGUGAGCUGAACGCGCUGGGGACCCCGCUCUUAUCACAGUCUACUGGGUGAGCUGAACGCGCUGGGGACCCCGCUCUUAUCACAGUCUACUGGGUGAGCUGAACGCGCUGGGGACCCCGCUCUUAUCACAGUCUACUGGGUGAGCUGAACGCGCUGGGGACCCCGCUCUUAUCACAGUCUACUGGGUGAGCUGAACGCGCUGGGGACCCCGCUCUUAUCACAGUCUACUGGGUGAGCUGAACGCGCUGGGGACCCCGCUCUUAUCACAGUCUACUGGGUGAGCUGAACGCGCUGGGGACCCCGCUCUUAUCACAGUCUACUGGGUGAGCUGAACGCGCUGGGGACCCCGCUCUUAUCACAGUCUACUGGGUGAGCUGAACGCGCUGGGGACCCCGCUCUUAUCACAGUCUACUGGGUGAGCUGAACGCGCUGGGGACCCCGCUCUUAUCACAGUCUACUGGGUGAGCUGAACGCGAUGGGGACCCCGCUCUUAUCACAGUCUACUGGUUUGUAAAGGGCACGGUGGGAAGGUGCACUUGUGCUGAUGGCUGUCUUCACCCUUAAAUGGCAGGAUCAAAAGUUGUGAGGAAUGUACCCAAGUAUCUGCUACCACAUUAAUUCCACACUUUCCAUGUAAUCAAGCACAUAUAAGUGAAAUCCUAGAUUUUUUAUAAUACGUGUGGAACUCAGAAGUCGGAUAUUGUUACCAACUUGCAAACCUGAAUCUCUUGUCAUUAAAAACCCGUUUCAAAACAAA